GAUGUCUCGAGAGGGAGACAAAAGGCUUAGCGUGAUCAGCCGAGCAGCCAACCCAUGCCAAAAAAAUGGGCGGGAUCACUGAUUUGUAGACGGGGCUAGAGCGGGCUGUGCCCUCCAAUUAAAUUGCGUCUAAAAACCAAAUCGCAAUUGGGAAGAAUAAGCAAGAAAAAGAAACCUAAUGGCAUUCAGCGUUUCUUGCAUCUGCAGUUCUUUAUGAACAUGUCCGACGCAAAAUUAAACGAUUAAAAUGCUUAUUCGCCCCGGAGCACUAGCAAGGAAUGCAUUCACCACUUCAUGUGCAAAGGUGCUCAUUGCAACUGCUACUGGGACCUUGGUGCUGUUUUUCAUGGAAAAUGCAGCUACGAUAAAGAGGGACUCAAAUAAAGCGUGAAAUAAACGUUUUCA